rnacentral:rRNA from 1 species
GCAUAUCAAUAAGCGGAGGAAAAGAAACCAACAGGGAUUGCCUCAGUAACGGCGAGUGAAGCGGCAACAGCUCAAAUUUGAAAUCUGGCCCUAGGCCCGAGUUGUAAUUUGCAGAGGAUGCUUUUGGCAAGGUGCCUUCCGAGUUCCCUGGAACGGGACGCCAUAGAGGGUGAGAGCCCCGUCUGGUCGGACACCGAGCCUCUGUAAAGCUCCUUCGACGAGUCGAGUAGUUUGGGAAUGCUGCUCAAAAUGGGAGGUAUAUGUCUUCUAAAGCUAAAUACCGGCCAGAGACCGAUAGCGCACAAGUAGAGUGAUCGAAAGAUGAAAAGCACUUUGAAAAGAGAGUUAAAUAGCACGUGAAAUUGUUGAAAGGGAAGCGUUUAUGACCAGACUUGGCCCGGUUGAUCAUCCAGCGUUCUCGCUGGUGCACUCUGCCGGUCCAGGCCAGCAUCAGUUCGUCGCGGGGGAUAAAGGUUUCGGGAAUGUGGCUCCUCCGGGAGUGUUAUAGCCCGUUGCGUAAUACCCUGCGGUGGACUGAGGUCCGCGCUUCUGCAAGGAUGCUGGCGUAAUGGUCAUCAACGACCCGUCUUGAAACACGGACCAAGGAGUCGUCUUCGUAUGCGAGUGUUCGGGUGUAAAACCCCUACGCGUAAUGAAAGUGAACGCAGGUGAGAGCUUCGGCGCAUCAUCGACCGAUCCUGAUGUUCUCGGAUGGAUUUGAGUAAGAGCAUACGGGGCCGGACCCGAAAGAAGGUGAACUAUGCCUGUAUAGGGUGAAGCCAGAGGAAACUCUGGUGGAGGCUCGCAGCGGUUCUGACGUGCAAAUCGAUCGUCAAAUAUGGGCAUGGGGGCGAAAGACUAAUCGAACCUUCUAGUAGCUGGUUUCCGCGA